rnacentral:rRNA from 1 species
GAUGAACGCUGGCGGCGUGCCUAAUACAUGCAAGUCGAGCGAACAGACGAGGAGCUUGCUCCUCUGACGUUAGCGGCGGACGGGUGAGUAACACGUGGAUAACCUACCUAUAAGACUGGGAUAACUUCGGGAAACCGGAGCUAAUACCGGAUAAUAUAUUGAACCGCAUGGUUCAAUAGUGAAAGACGGUUUUGCUGUCACUUAUAGAUGGAUCCGCGCCGCAUUAGCUAGUUGGUAAGGUAACGGCUUACCAAGGCAACGAUGCGUAGCCGACCUGAGAGGGUGGUCGGCCACACGGGAACUGAGACGCGGACCAGACUCCUACGGGAGGCAGCAGUAGGGAAUCUUCCGCAAUGGGCGAAAGCCUGACGGAGCAACGCCGCGUGAGUGAUGAAGGUCUUCGGAUCGUAAAACUCUGUUAUUAGGGAAGAACAAAUGUGUAAGUAACUAUGCACGUCUUGACGGUACCUAAUCAGAAAGCCACGGCUAACUACGUG